GGGGCUGAACGGUUUCGACUUCGCGCAUCGAAUCAAGGGAAGCGUGCCGGUGCAGGCAAGAGACCACCGUAAGCGUCGUUGCGACCAAAUAAGCGCCGAUUCACAUCAGCGCGACUACGCUCUCGCUGCCUAAGCGACGGCUAGUCUGUCAGACCGGGAACGCCCUCGGCCCGGACCCUGGCAUCAGCUAGAGGGAUCCACCGAUGAGUCCGGUCGCGGGACUCCUCGGGACAACCACAGCGACUGGGAUCGUCAUCUCGGCUAGUUCGCGUGACCGGGAGAUCCGAGCAGAGGCAUAGUGAACUGCGCACGGAGAAGCCUUGAGGGAAUGCCGUAGGACCCGGGUUCGAUUCCCGGCAGCUCCACC
rnacentral:tmRNA from 1 species